rnacentral:rRNA from 1 species
UGAACGCUGGCGGCGUGCUUAACACAUGCAAGUCGCACGAGAAAUCUUUAGCUUGCUAAAGAUAGUAAAGUGGCGCACGGGUGAGUAACGCGUGGGUAAUCUGCCUUCGAAUCGGGGAUAACAUUGCGAAAGCGAUGCUAAUACCGGAUAACAUCACAAGUACCUCGGUAUUUGUGAUCAAAAGUGGCCUCUACAUGUAAGCUACUGUUUGAAGAUGAGCCCGCGUACCAUUAGCUUGUUGGUAGGGUAAUGGCCUACCAAGGCAACGAUGGUUAGCUGGUCUGAGAGGAUGAUCAGCCACACUGGAACUGACACACGGUCCAGACUCCUACGGGAGGCAGCAGUGAGGAAUCUUGCGCAAUGGGGGAAACCCUGACGCAGCAACGCCGCGUGAGUGAUGAAGGCUUUCGGGUCGUAAAACUCUGUCAAGUGGGAAGAAACUAUUUCGUGCUAAUAUCACGUAAUACUGACGGUACCACUGAAGGAAGCACCGGCUAACUCC